rnacentral:rRNA from 1 species
AUUGAACGCUGGCGGCAUGCCUUACACAUGCAAGUCGAACGGUAACGCGGGGCAACCUGGCGACGAGUGGCGAACGGGUGAGUAAUACAUCGGAACGUGCCCAGUAGUGGGGGAUAGCCCGGCGAAAGCCGGAUUAAUACCGCAUACGACCUACGGGUGAAAGCGGGGGAUCGCAAGACCUCGCGCUAUUGGAGCGGCCGAUGUCAGAUUAGGUAGUUGGUGGGGUAAAGGCCUACCAAGCCUACGAUCUGUAGCUGGUCUGAGAGGACGACCAGCCACACUGGGACUGAGACACGGCCCAGACUCCUACGGGAGGCAGCAGUGGGGAAUUUUGGACAAUGGGCGCAAGCCUGAUCCAGCCAUGCCGCGUGCGGGAAGAAGGCCUCGG